rnacentral:lncRNA from 1 species
CUUUCCAGAGACAUCCUGACAGAGUGAGUUCCGUGUGGAUUUUUAAACAGUCAACUCACCAUUUGGAAACUGCAAUUACUCUUCCUUCCUCUUUUCACAUGGCUCCACAAAUCAGUUUGCUUUGGGGGCUGGGUUUUAUUUUGUUUCGUUUUAAAGUAUUGCACAAUUCCUUUUCAUGGUGCUUUUUCUCGGGAUUUUUGUGUCAUUUCAACUUUCAAUUGGCAAAGCUAUAAUUAAGAGUCCCAUUUGCUAUUUUAUGUCCCAUCUAUGUUCCCUCAUUUUAUUUGAACUUUUUCUUGCAGCAAGAGUACACAGCAACUUUACUGCGCAGCAAGACAGUUUUAAUGAAGUGCACGGCCGCCUGUAACGUGCCGCCGGUCCCGGGAUGGAGGAGUGAGGUCCCCGCUGCCGCCGCCGCCGCCGGGUCCUGCCUGCGGAGCGCCCCUCCCCGCUGAAGCCGAGUCCCCGGAGAGCGCCCUGAGGGAGCAGGGUGGCCGCCGGGUCCAGGUGCGUGGGGUCCGCCCGCGAGCAUGCGGGCCGGGGGUGCCCGGGGGGCCGGGGGGGCCGGGGGUGCCGCGCAGCCAGCCGUCCAGCCCCGCGCAGGGGUCUCCGCAGGGGUGGGGAGGGGAGGGGAGCAGAGGAGGGGAGGGGAGGGGGCGGCCGCCGGGACCUGCCCCCCUCGCUCGUGCAGCCCGGGAGCCCUCCCCGAGCUCCCGGC